GGAGAGACUGUGGUUCAGUGGUAGAGUACAUGCUUGGAAUGAAUAAGGUCCUAUGUUCGAUUCUUGGCAUCUUCA
rnacentral:tRNA from 1 species